UACGUAGGGGGCAAGCGUUGUUCGGAAUUACUGGGCGUAAAGGGCGCGUAGGCGGCCUGUUAAGUCGAACGUGAAAUCCCCGGGCUCAACCCGGGAACUGCGUCCGAUACUGGCAGGCUUGAAUCCGGGAGAGGGAUGCGGAAUUCCAGGUGUAGCGGUGAAAUGCGUAGAUAUCUGGAGGAACAUCAGUGGCGAAGGCGACACCCUGGACUCAUACUGACACUGAGGUGCGAAAGCGUGGGGAGCAAACAGG
rnacentral:rRNA from 1 species